GCAUGUGUGGCAAAAUAAGGUUGCUCAAUUGCAUCAAAUCACUUUCAGCAGAGAAACAUUUCUCUAUUGUUCUUGGGGUUGUCAAACAUUCCCAUACAUUUUUCUUCACUUGAAUGUGAUAAGACAUAGAAAAAAUGGCAAAGAAUUAAUUAUCAUUUUGACAAAAUUAUUUGCUAGUCAUGAUAUAUCGGCACAAAUAACUACAAUAAUUUUCAUGGUUGCAACGAUAUUUGACAAUGUGUGGUGUCAAAUUUCACUGCGUCAGGCCCGCUAGUAGUUUCUACUUAAUUAUCUCCUUUUCUCUCCCACUCCAAGCACCGAACAUUAGCAUCAGGCUUUCUACGUGCAAUGUAAAUUACUUGUUGGCUGGGUGCAAUAUUUAAUUUAAAGGAACUAUCAUUUGCAUAAAGGAUUAUAAAGCUCUCGUAAGCUAUUUCUACCCAAGGACUAAGUCAUAACCAACAGAUUCUUAUCAAUUAUCUGUCCGUGUACCAACGACUUCAUGUCACUGCCUACUUCCUAGGUCUUGUCUUUUAUAAGAGCUAGGCCACGCUAAGCCAAAGAUGAAUGAUAAACGUAUCAUUUCCUUCUCUUCCUUAGAAUUUGCAGACCCAUUUCAUCGAUGAUUUUGUUCUAUCCCUACAAAUUAGAGAGUGAAACAUUAUUGGUAUAGGCAUGGGAGGCACCAGGAAUCCUCCUUAGUGUUCCGCAGAGAGAUCUUGUACAUUGUUUGUCCUAGCUUN
rnacentral:lncRNA from 1 species